rnacentral:rRNA from 1 species
GCUUACGACCACACCGGCCUGAGUACGCCUGAUCUCGUCUGAUCUCGGAAGCUAAGCAGGGUCGGGCCGGUUAGUACUUGGAUGGGAGAAGCCUGGGAAUACCAGGUGCUGUAAGCU